UUUGGUGAUUCCCUCCUUGGAGAUCUUCACCUGCAGUUCCUGGAAUGAGUGAUGCUGCUUCCACAUGGUCAAUUUCACCCCUUCAUAUCUCUUCUGCAUCUAUGACACACCUUUAUCUUCUUGUUGCUGAGGCUGCCUCACCCUUGGCAGAAGCUUUUGGUGGCACUUAUGGCCAGCUAAUCAACUUGACUAUCAGGCAGCACCAUUCCGCAGAGUUGUAUGUGAUCUAUGGAAAAUCGACCCCUCUGCCCUGCUUUCAAUGAGCUUGUAACUUACUACUGACAAGAGGCUUCUUAUUCUUCUAUAGGCAGCUCUAGGUUUUGGUAUCAGGAUGAUGCUGACUUCUUAGUGACCUACUAAGAAGUAUCAAGCCCAGACAUCUUCACAGAUGGUAUCAUUCAAACCUCCAAGGAACAAAUAAUCUCAAUGCUAUUUCAACUGCUUCAAUGCAUAAAGAAGGAAAGUUUCCAAAUAUUAUCUAUGAUGCCAGAAAGCAAUUAUUCCAAAAUGUGAUAAAUGUAGUACAGAAAAAGAAAAUUAUUAAUAAAUGUAAUUUGUGAAUAUUAAUAAAAAAUCCUAAAGAAA